rnacentral:tRNA from 1 species
UGGCUCAGUCGGUAAAGUGCCCGACUUCCGCUCGGGUCAUGAUCGGGUUUGUGAGUUCGAGUCUCGC